rnacentral:rRNA from 1 species
UACGUAGGGUCCGAGCGUUGUCCGGAAUUAUUGGGCGUAAAGGGCUCGUAGGCGGUUUGUCACGUCGGGAGUGAAAACACGGGGCUUAACUCCGUGCCUGCUUCCGAUACGGGCAGACUAGAGGUAUGCAGGGGAGAACGGAAUUCCUGGUGUAGCGGUGAAAUGCGCAGAUAUCAGGAGGAACACCGGUGGCGAAGGCGGUUCUCUGGGCAUUACCUGACGCUGAGGAGCGAAAGUGUGGGGAGCGAACAGG